rnacentral:misc_RNA from 1 species
GAUGAAGAACGCAGCGAAAUGCGAUAAGUAGUGUGAAUUGCAGAAUUCAGUGAAUCAUCGAAUCUUUGAACGCACAUUGCGCCCCUUGGUAUUCCAUGGGGCAUGCCUGUUCGAGCGUCAUUUGUACCUUCAAGCUCUGCUUGGUGUUGGGUGUUUGUCUCGCCUCUGCGUGUAGACUCGCCUCAAAACAAUUGGCAGCCGGCGUAUUGAUUUCGGAGCGCAGUACAUCUCGCGCUUUGCACUCAUAACGACGACGUCCAAAAGUACAUUGGUACACUCUUGACCUCGGAUCAGGUAGGGAUACCCGCUGAACUUAAGCAUAGCAAUAAGCGGAGGA